rnacentral:rRNA from 1 species
GACGAACGCUGGCGGCGUGCUUAACACAUGCGAGUCGAACGAUGAACCCGGAGCUUGCUCUGGGGGAUUAGUGGCGAACGGGUGAGUAACACGUGAGUAACCUGCCCUGGACUCUGGGAUAAGCGUUGGAAACGACGUCUAAUACCGGAUAGGACCUUGGAUCGCAUGAUCUGGGGUGGAAAGUUUUUUCGGUCUGGGAUGGACUCGCGGCCUAUCAGCUUGUUGGUGAGGUAAUGGCUCACCAAGGCGUCGACGGGUAGCCGGCCUGAGAGGGUGACCGGCCACACUGGGACUGAGACACGGCCCAGACUCCUGCGGGAGGCAGCAGUGGGGAAUAUUGCACAAUGGGCGAAAGCCUGAUGCAGCAACGCCGCGUGCGGGAUGACGGCCUUCGGGUUGUAAACCGCUUUUAGUAGGGAAGAAGGGCUUCGGCUUGACGGUACCUGCAGAAAAAGGACCGGCUAACUACGUG